GCUAUACUGCAGUCGAGCGAGUUCUCGUUGAUGAUCGGUGCUUGCACCGAGAUUCAACAUGGAACGAGUGGCGGACGGGUGAGUAACACGUGGGUAACCUGCCCUUAAGUGGGGGAUAACAUUUGGAAACUUAUGCUAAUACCGCAUAAAUCCAAGAACCGCAUGGUUCUUGGCUGAUAGAUGGCGUAAGCUAUCGCUUUUGGAUGGACCCGCGGCGUAUUAGCUAGUUGGUGAGGUAAUGGCUCACCAAGGCGAUGAUACGUAGCCGAACUGAGAGGUUGAUCGGCCACAUUGGGACUGAGACACGGCCCAAACUCCUACGGGAGGCAGCAGUAGGGAAUCUUCCACAAUGGACGCAAGUCUGAUGGAGCAACGCCGCGUGAGUGAAGAAGGCUUUCGGGUCGUAAAACUCUGUUGUUGGAGAAGAAUGGUCGGCAGAGUAACUGUUGUCGGCGUGACGGUAUCCAACCAGAAAGCCACGGCUAACUACGUGCCAGCAGCCGCGGUAAUACGUAGGUGGCAAGCGUUAUCCGGAUUUAUUGGGCGUAAAGCGAGCGCAGGCGGUUUUUUAAGUCUGAUGUGAAAGCCCUCGGCUUAACCGAGGAAGCGCAUCGGAAACUGGAAACUUGAGUGCAGAAGAGGACAGUGGAACUCCAUGUGUAGCGUAAAUGCGAUAUAUAUGAAAGAUACCAGAGCCCAAUGGGCUGUCUGGUCUGUAACUGACCUGAAACUCGAAGCUUGUGUAUUGAACAGAUAAAUAACCUUGGUAACCCCACAAUCA
rnacentral:rRNA from 2 species